rnacentral:rRNA from 1 species
GCCAGCAGCCAUAUCACCAUGCAACCCACUGAAGCUAAGCAGGUAUGAGCCUGGCCAGUACCUGGAUGUAGACCUCAUGGGAAAAACUGCUUGGUUGCUGCUGGAA